rfam:Schistosoma mattheei strain Denwood, Zambia genome assembly, scaffold: SMTD_scaffold0021262
AUUCAACUGAUGAGUCCCAAAUAGGACGAAACGCACGUCAUGAAU